UGUGGGAUUUAUUUCAGUACAUGUUGUGGUUAAUUGUUGUCCAUUUUAAUAUUAUGUGUUUGCCAUAUGUGUUGUAAAUUCAGUUAUAUCGCUAGGGGCCCGCUCAAUGGGUCCAGGACUUCACCGUCCUUGGUAUGCCACAAUGCGAUUUCAUGUUACAGUUAGGGUUGCAACCUAUUCGCCAGGGGCCCGCUCAAUGGGUCCAGGACAUUAAAGUCCUUGGUAUGCCACCGCGCGAAUUUCAGUUAUCAGUACAGAGCAGUGCGUAUGUGUUGACCAUUUUAUUAACGUGGACAAUUAUUGCAUGUUUCCCACACUGAGUAUAUUUCAUAUGCUCAUCCCAUAUUUUACAUUUUCAGGUAACUAAGGUUGGAGGCGCGUAGAGGAUCGAAUGGGCGCGUCAAGUAAAUAUUUUUGAAAAAUAUAAUGUUGUAGUUAUACUUAACCUUUUGCUUGUAUAGUUUUUUUUGAAGUCUCAAACUACUCUUGAGAUUUUGGUAUGACUUAUAAAGUAUAAUGUUAUUAUGUUAGCUUUCUAUCAUGGUUGGCCUUCAUUUCAAGUUAUUUCAAAUAUUUUAUUUAAAGAUUUAUCUAUUUGAAAAUAAAUCCAAGUCUUUAUUUUAUGAUAUUUACGCUAAUAUAUAUAUAUAUAUAUAUAUAUAUAUAUAUAUAAAUUCAUUUUCUUAAAACUUUAAUUAGAUUAGGGUGUUACAGCAUUGCAGAACGUUUCUUCUUGGGACUUGUAGCAAUUGUCAGACGACCUUUUUCCUAUCAUCACACACUGAUUUGUGUCAUCAAAGACUUCACAAAGAUGUUUGUUGAACUUUACAGUCAUACCUGCAUCACAUAACUGACUUAUGCUAAACAGGUUAGCCUUAAGCCCUUCAACAAGAUACACAUCUUUUAAUUUAGGAAAAUCAGUAACAUUGAGAACUCAUUUCCCCAGAAUUGUUCGUUUCGCACCUCCUCCAAAAGUAACUUUUCCUCCAGAUGUUGGAACAAAAUCAGAGAGUAAAGCCUUUUUUCCUGUCAUAUGUCUAGAACACCCACUGUCAAAGUACCAAUUCUCAGAAAUAUUAGCAUUCAAGGAGGUGUAGACAACAGUAUUACAGGUUUCAUUUUGUUCUCUCUUAUCCAACAAUCUGCUAAAGUCAAACCUGCCAAUGUUACUAACAUUCUUCUGGUAACAGUCAAACAUCUGUGUAGCAGAUUUUACAGCACAAUCACUUAUGUAUUUGACACAAUGAGGUUUGAUAUGUCCAGGAGCAGAACAAUAAUGACAAACAUAGGAUUUUUUCUUUUUGCUUUUCUUAUGAAGAUCCUUAAUGUUGUCAACAUUCACACUAACAUUUCUUUCUUUAACAAAAACAGUAGAAUUAUGAUGUUGCUUUCUUUGCUCCUCAGCACAGAAACCAAUACCAAAAUUACUAUGCUGACCUUGAGACAGAACUUCAUUUAAACAUGAGGUCCCUUUGUUAAACCGUUUAAACACCCUUUCAGAAUCACAAACUUUACCUCGGAGUAUUUCCAGUUCAACAUCACGUUGAGAGAGCAUCCUUUCAAGCCUUGUAAUUUGCCCUUUGAGAUUUUGGUUUUCAUCAACCAACAUACAGAUGUCAUUUCUCAACUCCCGACAUUGAGAAUCAACAACCUCAUAGAGAUCUUUAAAAUUCUCCAUCUCUUUCAGUGGAUCACUCUCCUGUUCUUCCAAGGCUGCAACACAACAAAAAUCUGGUAUACUAGAGUUGAAAUCAUCAAGAAUAGUCAUUUCAUANUUGGUAUGCCACAAUGCGAUUUCAUGUUACAGUUAGGGUUGCAACCUAUUCGCCAGGGGCCCGCUCAAUGGGUCCAGGACAUUAAAGUCCUUGGUAUGCCACCGUGCGAAUUUCAGUUAUCAGUACAGUGCAGUGCGUAUGUGUUGACCAUUUUAUUAACGUGGACAAUUAUUGCAUGUUUCCCACACUGAGUAUAUUUCAUAUGCUCAUCCCAUAUUU
rnacentral:lncRNA from 1 species